GUGAGUCAUCGAAUCUUUGAACGCACAUUGCGCCCUUUGGCAUUCCGAAGGGCAUACCUGUUCGAGCGUCAUUAUCACCCCUCAAGCCCCCCUUGGCUUGGUGUUGGACGGUUUUGGUGGGGACAUGCAGCCUCUCACCCCUCCUAAAGACAAUGACGGCGGCGCCGUUUGGAACCCCCGGUACACUGAGCUUCUUAACUGAGCACGUACUGGAUGCGGGUACGCGAUGCACGGUCUGCCUCCCCUUUAGGGAGAACUUUUUUCUUAAGGUUGACCUCGGAUCAGGUAGGAAUACCCGCU
rnacentral:misc_RNA from 1 species